rnacentral:rRNA from 1 species
AUUGAACGCUGGCGGCAUGCCUUACACAUGCAAGUCGAACGGCAGCACGGGUGCUUGCACCUGGUGGCGAGUGGCGAACGGGUGAGUAAUACAUCGGAACGUACCUUAUCGUGGGGGAUAACGCAGCGAAAGCUGUGCUAAUACCGCAUACGCCCUGAGGGGGAAAGCGGGGGAUCGCAAGACCUCGCGCGAUUAGAGCGGCCGAUGCCUGAUUAGCUUGUUGGGGGGGUAAAAGCCCACCAAGGCGAAGAUCAGUAGCUGGUCUGAGAGGACGAUCGGCCACACUGGGACUGAGACACAGCCCAGACUCCUACGGGAGGCAGCAGUGGGGAAUUUUGGACAAUGGGGGCAACCCUGAUCCAGCUAUGCCGCGUGAGUGAAGAAGGCCUUCGGGUUGUAAAGCUCUUUUGUCAGGGAAGAAACACCGGCUCUAACACAGUCCGGGAAUGACGGUACCUGAAGAAUAAGCACCGGCUAACUACGUGCCAGCCGCCGCCGUAA